GACGAACGCUGGCGGCGUGCCUAAUACAUGCAAGUCGAGCGCUGACGGUUGGUACUUGUACCAACUGGAUGAGCAGCGAACGGGUGAGUAACGCGUGGGUAAUCUGCUUUUGAGUGGGGGACAAUAUCUGGAGACGAAUGCUACUACUGCAUAAUAACUUCAAACACAAGUAUCAAGUUUUAAUGAUGCAUUUGCAUCAUUCAUAGAUGAUCCCGCGUUUUAUUAGUUAGUUGGUGAGGUAAAGGCCCACCAAGGCGUUGAUACAUAGCCGACCUGAGUGGGUGGACGGCCACAUUGGGAAUGGGACACGGCUCAAACCUCCACGGGGGGGAGCAAUAGGGAAACUUUGGAAAAGGAGGAAAGUCUUAACGCGGAAAGCCGGGUGAGUGAAGAAGGUUUUCGGAUCGUUAAAGUCCGUUUGUAGGGAAGGAAGUUCAGCAGGGUAAAAAGCUCAUGAAGUGACGGUAACUAAACAGAAAGCAACGGCUAACUACGUG
rnacentral:rRNA from 1 species